CUCCAACGUUAUCAUCUUCCCAGUCAAUUGCAAGUAAACAAAUUACUUAUAUUACACUCACAAAAUAUUACAACUUAACAACAACUCUCAAGAACACAACUUAGAAGCUAUGACACUCUUUCUGUAGACACACUCUAGACCACUCACACUCUUCACAAGACCACCCUCACUUCUAAGUUAUUUUCUUGCUUCUCUUCUUGGCUACUUGGUUGUAUUACAACACUCAUGGCCAUGAUCAUGCACACACCCUUCCACCGACUUAAGAAACAACCUUCCAGUCCUUUCUUUCUACAAAGGACUACUUAGCUUAGAUAAUUCUAUAUUUCAUGUUUCUUCACGGAUCACCUUCCAUGCAUAUUUGAACUAGAAAAAUCUAAUUUAAUUGUAUCACAAUUUUCAACUUCCAGAGUGAUGGUCUUCCCGGUCAAGGUCUUCACGAAGAUUUGCAUACCACCACGCAGUCGAAGCACCAAGGUGGACUCCUUUUGAAUGUUGUAAUCAGCAAGUGU
rnacentral:sRNA from 1 species